UCAUUGGUUGUUCAGUGAUAGAAUUCUCACCUGCCAGGCGGGAGACCCGGGUUCGAUUCCUGGCCAAUGUAA
rnacentral:tRNA from 1 species